rnacentral:rRNA from 1 species
UACGGAGGGUGCAAGCGUUAUCCGGAUUCACUGGGUUUAAAGGGUGCGUAGGUGGGUUGAUAAGUCAGUGGUGAAAUCCCCGAGCUUAACUUGGGAACUGCCAUUGAUACUAUCAGUCUUGAAUAUUGUGGAGGUUAGCGGAAUAUGUCAUGUAGCGGUGAAAUGCUUAGAUAUGACAUAGAACACCAAUUGCGAAGGCAGCUGGCUACGCAUAUAUUGACACUGAGGCACGAAAGCGUGGGGAUCAAACAGG